rnacentral:rRNA from 1 species
AUCGAACGCUGGCGGCAGGCUUAACACAUGCAAGUCGAGCGGAGCGGCGGACGGGUGAGUAAUGCCUAGGAAUCUGCCUGGUAGUGGGGGAUAACGUCCGGAAACGGGCGCUAAUACCGCAUACUAUCAGAUGAGCCUAGGUCGGAUUAGCUAGUUGGUGGGGUAAAGGCCUACCAAGGCGACGAUCCGUAACUGGUCUGAGAGGAGGAUCAGUCACACUGGAAUGGAGACACGGUCAAGACUCCUAGGGGGGGCGCCAGUGGGGAAUAUUGGACAAUGGGCGAAGGCCUGAGCCAGCCAUGCCGCGUGGGUGAGGAAGGUCUUCGGAUUGUAAAGCACUUUAAGUUGGGAGGCGUUACCAACAGAGUAAGCACCGGCUAACUUCGUGCCAGCAGCCGCGGUAAUUC